AUUCUGAGCGGAGGGGAGGAAAAUCUUACUUUUUUAGCGUCAGUGUUGGCUCCAGUGCAGCAGCAAUGGUGGCCGAUCUCCUUCUCCAGCGUCUGGUUCACUUCCCAUCCGCCCUUCUUCUUCUUCUCUGAUCACCCCUCCGUCGGUUAGGGUUUUGGUUUCCUACCAAAAAGAGUUUAAGUACUCCUCUCCAUUAAAUCUGGGUUGUCCGUUCGACACGACGUGGUCCAUCCGUAACUGUUUGAUCUCUCUUUUUUGAAAAAUUAAUUUAGACCGCACAGUCUGAUCAAAUCCAACCGUUCAAUUG
rnacentral:lncRNA from 1 species